rnacentral:rRNA from 1 species
GACGUAGGGGGCCAGCGUUGUUCGGAAUUACUGGGUGUAAAGGGUUCGUAGGCGGUGCGGCAAGUUGGGAGUGAAAUCUCUGGGCUUAACCCAGAGGCUGCUUCCAAAACUGCUGUGCUUGAGUGUGGGAGAGGCGCGUGGAAUUGCAGGUGUAGCGGUGAAAUGCGUAGAUAUCGGGAGGAACACCAGUGGCGAAGGCGACUACCUGGCCUGUUUCUUGACGCUGAGGCGCGAAAGCUAGGGGAGCAAACGGG